CACGAAGUUUGUUCUCCAAUUCCUCAUCCGCCUAGUUAAACCUCAGCCUCGAAGAGGAAUUUCUUUUCGGUCGCAACCUUCGAAGGAAGUGGUAGUGCGCGACGUGUUUAAGAAUAAUUAUAAAAAGAGUUUUUCCUAGGUCAGUGAAGACCUAAUAAAGUCUAGUGGAAGUGUUUUAAAACAAACACAUACGAAAAAAGGUCCGAUAGAGGGCCUUUUUUCUUUUGUUCCUUUGGAACAGGUUCCAACGCUUCCGCCAAAGACUUCGGAGGUCACUACGGUGGCC